AGCGAACGCUGGCGGCAUGCUUACACAUGCAAGUCGCACGAAGGUUUCGGCCUUAGUGGCGGACGGGUGAGUAACGCGUAGGAAUCUAUCCAUGGGUGGGGGAUAACACUGGGAAACUGGUGCUAAUACCGCAUGAUACCUGAGGGUCAAAGGCGCAAGUCGCCUGUGGAGGAGCCUGCGUUCGAGUAGCUAGUUGGUGGGGUAAAGGCCUACCAAGGCGAUGAUCGAUAGCUGGUUUGAGAGGAUGAUCAGCCACACUGGGACUGAGACCCGGCCCAGACUCCUACGGGAGGCAGCAGUGGGGAAUAUUGGACAAUGGGGGCAACCCUGAUCCAGCAAUGCCGCGUGUGUGAAGAAGGUCUUCGGAUUGUAAAGCACUUUCGACGGGGACGAUGAUGACGGUACCCGUAGAAGAAGCCCCGGCUAACUUCGUGCCAGCCGCCGCGGUAA
rnacentral:rRNA from 1 species